UACGGGGGGGGCAAGCGUUGUUCGGAAUUACUGGGCGUAAAGGGCUCGUAGGCGGCCAACUAAGUCAGACGUGAAAUCCCCAGGCUCAACCUGGGAACUGCGUCUGAUACUGGAUGGCUUGAAUCCGGGAGAGGGAUGCAGAAUUCCAGGUGUAGCGGUGAAAUGCGUAGAUAUCAGGAGGAACACCUAUGGCGAAGGCAGCUCGCUGGGACGGUACUGACGCUGAGGCGCGAAAGCGUGGGGAGCAAACAGG
rnacentral:rRNA from 1 species